GACCAGACGCCAAGUUAUUUUAGGCACAAACCGCAGGAGUGCGCAAUUCACACACUACAUUCAUCAGGUAAUAGGGUAUUAUCUGAUAUGGCAGCUAAGACAGAAGCAAGAAGCUAGAUAGCUUAUCUACUUGCUGAAAAUCCCAAACAGGUAAAGACACGAUAAGAAGCGCUGUAUAAAUCGAACGCUCCAUGAUUAAUUGUGCCUCCAAUUCUAACAAUAAAUCAAGAAGCCUUUGCGUCACUUAUAAGAACGUUGCUUCAAACAAUAGUAAACGGGCAAAGAGAGGUUUUUAUUAGAUUGCGACGAAAUGGUUAGGUACCACCAUUUAAUUCUAGGAUUCUUUACUCGGUCCACAAGCUGUCUGCAUCCAAAGUAUUGAUCUAU